GAUGACACCCUUUUCUACACACAUGAACAAACAGCAGAGGGAGAACCUGAGGGCUGUUUGGUGUCCACGCAGGGGCUGAUGGGAGGUGGGAGGGGCCAUUAGAAAGCAGGAGGCCCCGUUGCUUCGUCCUCCUCUUCAUCAGACGCUGCUUCUCCAGGUUCACCAGAGGAAACGCCACAGAAUGCUUCUCCUGCUGCCGGCCGCUCUGUGCUGUCUGUGUUCAGCGCUGGUCACCACGGCAACACAGCUGACCCAGGACAAGUUGUUCCUGAGCAGAGGAGAGGGUAUAUCGGUUUCAAUGAGCUGUGGUGGGACAGAGCAGUGUGAUGAUAAACAACUUUACUGGUUCCAGAAGAAAGACGGACAACCAUUCGAGAUGAUCCUCCAGUACAACUUAGAAAGUGAAAAAUCCAAAAAUCGCAACGACCAUCCUGAAAAAGACGACUUCAGCGUCUUGAAGUCAGACAGUGGUAUUAAUCUGAUCAUAGCGACGACAAAAGCUGCCCAUUCAGCCACCUACUACUGCGCCUGUUAUAAAGAAGUUCCCCACAGUGAGAAAGAACGCCGCUAACCUGAACAAAAACCUCCAGAUAUUCAACAGGAAGAAAAACCACAAUCACAUAUGUCAACUUCAUAUCAGAUGUACAUGCAGCAAUC